rnacentral:lncRNA from 1 species
UGCAGCACAAGAGAGAUGACACAGAGAGUGCCGUCCAUCACCUCCACAGCAGAAUACUGGACCUGCGAGAAGAUUUGGCAGAAUAUGAAGACACUCUCAAAACAGAAAUGGACGGCUGUAUAAGAUACAUAGAUGCUCUCCCACCUAAGGAUUUCCAGGGGCUGACUAACCCUGACAUGAUCCCGAAUGCUAUGGAGAAGUUCCUGUUCACCAAAUUCUGGCAGAGGUGGCAUCAAGGCCAAAGGAAACGAGCCAACCUUCCCUAUAAAGCAUUGACCAAGCCAGAUGAGCACCCAGUCAACAUUGGAUGCAGCAAAGACCUGAGCCCUCCGUGCACAGAUGUCCCAAACCUUGGUGAAGGCAGCAGAUAGGUCACCACACAUGGGUAUGACAAUUCCCCCAGCUUUUACCCAGUAUCAGCGUCUUUCUUGUUAUCUCUCUGAGUUGUGUCGAUUUAUGUGGUGAACACCUUGCAGGACGUGAUGUUCAAUACAAGUGUGCUUUAAAGCCUAGUGUUUGGGGAAGAUGCAAGAGCAAGAGACAGUGAUUUGGUAAU